UCCCCGCCUCGAUUUUCUGUCACAACCCAAUAUGUUUCCAUUCGCCAGCCUCUCUAUGAUCCCUGUACUAAUUCCAUUGCCAUUUUCUUCCUUGUCGUUACCCAUUCUAUCUUACUCCGAUGACCUUCGAAAUUCCUUUAUUCAUCUUCUUCAUUGCCUAGCUUCCUCAUCCCUUCCCUACUUUGAUAUAACUCGCAUGCCACAAAAGAAAGGCAAGGAAAGUAACGUACCUCAACAAAAUCUUGGCCUAUAUAUAUGAUCAGCCUCUCAAUGUUGCCACUCCAAUGAGCCGUUUCUUCUAUUUUCACAGAUCGUAUCCAGGUCGACUUGUUCCACAUAGGGUCCUUACACAUUUCUUCAUGGUGAUCCUCAAGAAGGGGUGUAUAUGGAGCAACCACUAGGGUUUGUUGCUCAGGGGAAGAAUGGAAAGGCGUGUCGCCUUUGUAAAUCUUUGGAUGGACUAAAACAUAGUCCACAGGCUUGGUUUGGAAAAUUUAUUAAGGUGAUCGAAAGUUUUGGAAUGCAAAAGAGCACGUUAGAUCAUUCAAUCUUUUUUAAAAGAUCCGAGAGUGGGGUGAUCCUAAUCGUAGUAUAUGUUGAUGCAAUUGUGGUUGUUGGUGAUGAUGCUUUAGAUGUCCAGUCCCUGAAGACUUUUCUCUAUUGCCAAUUCCAAAUAAAAGAUUUGAGCAUGUUGAAAUACCUCCUAGGAAUUUGAGGUAAAAAACAGGCAAGAAAGCAAUACUAUUAUCACAGAGAAAAUAUGGACUUGUUGACUGAAACAUGGAAGGUAGGUGCCAAGCCAUGUAGUACCCCAACGAUGCCUAACUUAUAGCUCACAAAAGAUGGAGAAUUGUUGAAAGAUCUUCAAAGAUAUAGGAGGUUAGAGGGAAAACUUAAUUACCUUCCAGCGAAUCGACUCGACAUAGCCUAUUUAGUGAGUAUUAUGAGCCAGUGUAUGUCAUGCCCUAAAGUUGAUCAUUCAGCUGCUUUGGAAUGAUUCAGUGUUAUCUGAAGGCUGCUCUCGGGCAUGAUUUUAUUAUAUAAGGAUUAUAGUCAUACUAAUAUUGAAUGUUUCUCAGAUGUUAAUUGGUAAAAUCUAAAGAAGACAAAAGAUCAACUUCAGGAUAUUUUGUUUUUGUUGGUGGCAAUUUGAUGUCUUGGAAAAGUAAGAAACAAAAUGUGGUGUCACAUUCAAGUGCAUAAUAAAAAAUAUAGAGCAAUUGCACAGUUUUUGUGUGAAUUGGAUAUAUCAAAUUGAUUUGGAUAUAUCAA